GGGGGUUUAGCUCAGCUGGGAGAGCACCUGCUUUGCAAGCAGGGGGUCACCGGUUCGAGUCCGGUAACCUCCACCA
rnacentral:tRNA from 1 species